rnacentral:lncRNA from 1 species
UUUUUUUUAUUGGUUGUUCAAAACAUUACAAAGCUCUUGACAUAUCAUAUUUCAUACAUUAGAUUCAAGUGGGUUAUGAACUCCCAUUUUUACCCCAAAUACAGAUUGCAGAAUCACAUCGGUUACACAUCCACAUUUUUACAUAAUGCCAUAUUAGUAACUGUUGUAUUCUGCUACCUUUCCUAUCCUCUACUAUCCCCCCUCCCCUCCCCUCCCAUCUUCUCUCUCUACCCCAUCUACUGUAAUUCAUUUCUCCCCCUUGUUUUUUUCCCUUUCCCCACACUUCCUCUUGUAUGUAAUUUUGUAUAACAAUGAGGGUCUCCUUCCAUUUCCAUGCAAUUUCCCUUUUCUCUCCCUUUCCCUCCCACCUCAUGUCUCUGUUUAAUGUUAAUCUUUUCCUCCUGCUCUUCCUCCCUGCUCUGUUCUUAGUUGCUCUCAUUAUAUCAAAGAAGACAUUUAGCAUUUGUUUUUUAGGGAUUGGCUAGCUUCACUUAGCAUAAUCUGCUCUAAUGCCAUCCAUUUCCCUGCAAAUUCCAUGAUUUUGUCAUUUUUUAGUGCAGAGUAAUACUCCAUUGUGUAUAAAUGCCACAUUUUUUUUAUCCAUUCAUCUAUUGAAGGACAUCUGGGUUGGUUCCACAGUCUAGCUAUUGUGAAUUGUGCUGCUAUGAACAUCGAUGUGGCAGUAUCCCUGUAGUAUGCUCUUUUAAGGUCUUCAGGGAAUAGUCCGAGAAGGGCAAUAGCUGGGUCAAAUGGUGGUUCCAUUCCCAGCUUUCCCAGGAAUCUCCAUACUGCUUUCCAAAUUGGCCGCACCAAUUUGCAGUCCCACCAGCAAUGUACAAGAGUACCCUUUUCUCCACAUCCUUGCCAGCACGUGUUGUUGUUUGACUUCAUAAUGGCUGCCAAUCUUACUGGAGUGAGAUGGUAUCUUAGGGUGGUUUUGAUUUGCAUUUCUCUGCUAGAGAUGGUGAGCAUUUUUUCAUGUACUUGUGGAUUGAUUGUAUGUCCUCCUCUGAGAAGUGUCUGUUCAGGUCCUUGGCCCCAUCUUUGCCUCUCUUGAACAAGCCCCUAAGGUGCUGAGUAUAGAGAGGGGCUGGGGGACUGGGAUUGUGGCUCAGCGGUAGAGUGCUCGCCUAGCAUGGGCAGGACCCGGGUUCGAUCCUCAGCACCACAUAAAAAUAAAGGCAUUGUGUAGUGUUCAUCUACACCUAAAAAAUAAAUAUUUUAAAAAGGAG